GACGCGGGGGCGUGGUCAGCGAGACGUACUAGCACGGAGCGUGGCGUGGGGCCGCGGCCUUCGAGGCGCUUUGGAGCGCUCGAGGUCCGACCGGCGUCGGAGCAGGAAGGAGGUCCGGCCAGGCUUGCGUAGCGCGGGCCACCACUGCUCCCCGGCGGCCGGCCGCGGCGCUGCAGCCAGGGAGGGAGCGCCUCCGGCCGUCCAGCUCGGACCGUCCAGCUCGAACCCUAACCCGUCCAGCUCCCUUCGUCCUCCGGGGACCGUCCUGCGUGGCCACCGGUCUGCAGCCCCGGCGGAGCGUGGUGGCCGGAAAGGAGAGGCCCCACUCGGUGCUGCGCGUCCUCAGAAGUUUGAGGGUUAUCGUAGGGUUAUUCGGCAAAACGAGCUUCCAAGUGACUUUAUCCCGCGCUGGUCCUCCUGUGAGCUUGGCUCGGAAUACGCUGCACUUCGGCUUAGCCGACACCGUCACCCUGGAGGGUCUCCAUCCCAGGAACAAGGAAGUCCCACGCAGAGCCAGGAAAGGGACGUCAUGAUGUCACAAUGUCAUUGUGGUGUAGACGCGCCAGAGCAUGGGGUACACCUCCAGACGCGCUUGCUGCAGCAGGACCAGCACCUACAACGGGCGGGACCUCUCUGAGUGCAGGGUCUCUGCGGGGUGGCCUGAAGUUGCUGACGCCAGGAUGUGCCCGAUGAACAGCCUCCACCCCUUGCCCUCCAGCUCGAGCCAGCCGUUGGACGGGAAUUGUGGAUGGAGCAGGCAGGACGGUUGCCUCUGCUCAGAAGGGGCCCCUGGCCUGGCCCUGUGCGCACCCCCCUCAGAGAGGAGCACAGACCCCAGCUCCUGAGAUGCCUGUGCAGCCGCCGGAAAAGAGCCUGAGGCUGCCGUGUCCAUGCCCGCGUCCCCGGCUCUGCGUCCUCCCGCGGCGGCGGGUGUGAGAGAGCCGCGCGCCAGAGGCCCAGCGCGGGCUUCUCCCUGGAUGUCCCCACCGGGGACGUGGUCUCCUUCCACCGCCCGGACUCGGCGGCGGACUGGGGGGCUCGCCUGUGACCCGGGCAGCUGUCCCACCGCGUCAGGCCGGAAGGAGCACGAAGUCGUCGUUGACGUCGACCAUGGGCACGUAGAAGGACGGCACCUCGUUCACACACAGGGACUUGUGCCCGGCGGGGUCCAGCUCCUGCACCUUCAGCUGCCACUCCAUCCUCUGCACAGCGUUGAGGGCCGCGGCCUCGUGCUGCUGCCGCAUCAGGAGACACGUCUACGCGGGAAACGCAGCAGGUGAGGGGAGGGGAGGCAAGACCCCGGCCGCCCCCCGCACCCAUUCCCCCUGCCGCAGCGCCUCCCGGGAGGUCGGGGCGGGGGACCCUUUCGCGCUCUGGCCUCAGGACGACCUCUUGCGUCUGGGUCUCGUCCUGCGCGGUGAGUGGCCUUGCUGACCACACGGGGGUCUGUCCAUCAUCCCUGCUCUGUGCCCCCACCCUGGGGGUUUCAGCACAGCCUCUAGUCAGAACUCAUAAUAGCUUUGCUCUUCUGUUUUCAUUUUCCAUUUAUCUUAUUUAUGGUUGGUGAUAUUGGCUUCAUUUGCACUCACAGUGGAAAUUAUGCCUUUUAGAAAUGCACUUAGUUUUUAAAAAUUAAUGUUCACGUGUUUACUCUUAAGCGGGUACUAAGUAAGGUAAACAGUUAUACUACUAAAGGCGUACUCUGUAUUUCAUGUUGAGAAGGGAGAAUGUUGAAACUGAAAUAAUGACGGUACCUGGGUUACCAACAGCACGUGGGGGGGGGGGCGGCGUUUGGGGUACAAGGCAGGUGACACAGAGCACAGCGGGCGAAAAGACCAGCCUUCAUGUGGACAGAGUUAACGGCGUGACAGUGUGCAGGAAGAUCAUCUUAUUUUCUUCGACGUGCACACAAGCAUGUAGGGCCAGGUAUCACAAUUUCUGAUUUGCUUAAAAUAGUUCAGUUAAAAAAAGUGUUCUGGAAACAAGCCCCACAGGCCCCAGCGGCCAGCCGUGUCCUCCUCGGCACGCCUGGGCCGCUUGUCAUCCUCAGGGAGGCUUGAACAAAAGGCGUGGCAGCUCAGACACCCUCAGGAGUCCAGCUGCUUUCAUCUAAUUUAGAGCGUUCUUGACUAGAAUUGUACGUACCCCUGAGUUUUCAGUUACUAAAAUGAAAUUGUUUGUUGGGCUAAACCCCUGAAACAUGACCAGCAUGUCCGGGGAGUUGUCCCAGGGCUGCAGGAACUGAGGGUGGGCAGCCUGUCUCCUGAAUAGGACCUCGUCCACCCUGUGCUCUGAGACCAGUGGCCACGCGGGUGGCCGUUUCGUGCCCCUGCACUCUCCGUACUUCACCAAUUCCUUUUUCUAUCCAUCUAUUUUUCUUAUUGGUUUGUAAGUUCUUGGCACAUUAAGGAAAUGAGACUUAACGUUGUCUUUGUAAUGUACCAAAUCUAACUUUACUUCGGUCAGAAAUUUUUUCUCUCUUGUAAGUUUCCCGUGCAGCUCCCUUCAGGCUGGCUGGUGGUGGGAGGAGUGACCGUGGGACCCCCGAACGGUCACCUUUGCAGCUUGUUAGAAACACGGCCUGGACCCGGCCUCAGCUGGGCCUGAACGCCCUGUAGGCUGGUUCCUCUCUGCUCUGGCCUCUGGCCUCCUGGCCGCCCCUCUGGGUGCGCUGCCGCAGUGCCGGAGGCAGGGUCACUGAGGCAAGGGGUGAGGCUGGCAGCCCAGCGUGGGAGCCUGGGUCACGCCUCCAUCAGCUCCACGCAGCAGGCCCUGCCUCCUGGGGCUUCCCGGUGGUGCCGGCUUCUAGGUGUUAAUUCUGUAACGGGCACGUCACUGCCGGUCAGUGUUCACGGGGGACCCCGGGUGCAACCCUCGCACCUGCAGACAAGGACUUGCUUCUUACUUGCUAAUCUCUCUCUAUCUCCCCCCCAUCCUCUGCCCACUGCACUGGUCAGCACAGCCAGGGGCAGGGGUGAUGGGUGGAUGCUGUGACCUUUGAGGAGGGCUCAAGGUGGGGUCCCACAGAGGUCUGACCGCCAGCUGGUGACUGGAGCUGCUCCCCGCACACCUGGACAGGAGGGAAGACACUCUAAGAGGCAACAUGGGGGCGGGGAGGCCUCAGCUCCCUCACUGCCAGCUGGGCUCAGAGCGAGUCUGAAGCUGCCUCUUCCGAACACGGCCCUGCCGCCCCCGCCCAGAAGAGCCCUGGCCCCGCCGCCGCCGCCGGGGCCGGGGCUCACCUUCAUGCGGUCAUACUUGUCGUCCACGUCCUGCAGCCAGGAGAUGAACUGGCGGGCGUUGAACCGGUCCCGCACUGACUUGUUCUCAUCACCCUGGCGGGAGAGUGAAGCACGUGUGGGCGUCCGGGAGGGGUGGGCCUGGCACGCCAAGCCCCGGGUCCCCCAGUCAAGGGCUCCCUUCCCCACCAGCUCUCCACGCCGUCCGUGGGGGGAGCUGCCCUGUGGUGACUCGGGACCCCGGCGGCGCCUUCAGGCUCCCCUCCGUCUCCUGGGGAGGCCCCAGGGCGAGCCGGCGAGGGUAAAAAGCGGCAGUGACUUUUCCUUUGACAGAACGUCUGCGAGGCCUGGGGUGGCUGCAGGCCGCCCACGGUGGACUGUGGUUUACAGGCAGGGCAGCCUCGGGAGCAGUAGGUCCCCACAGGCUCUUGCCGGCUGGGUUUGCAGGGCCUCCCGGGUCUCGGGGCAGGAAAGUCUCCCUCUCGCCCAGCCACACGCAACCACCUGCCUGGCGAAAGCCCAGGCCCCCACUACAAAGGGGCUUGAGGGGAGGAGGCUGCAGCCUGAGAGCCCUGUCU